rnacentral:rRNA from 1 species
UACGAAGGGGCUAGCGUUGCUCGGAAUCACUGGCGUAAGGGUGCGUAGGCGGUCUUUAAGUCAGGGUGAAAUCCUGGAGCUCAACUCCAGAACUGCCUUUGAUACUGAGGAUCUUGAGUACGGAGAGGUGAGUGGAACUGCGAGUGUAGAGGUGAAAUUCGUAGAUAUUGGGAAGAACACCGGUGGCGAAGGCGGCCAUCCUGGACCGCAACUGACGCUGAGGCGCGAAAGCGUGGGAGCAAACAGG